AGUGGGGAAUCUUAGACAAUGGGGGCAACCCUGAUCUAGCCAUGCCGCGUGAGUGAUGAAGGCCCUAGGGUUGUAAAGCUCUUUCAGUGGGGAAGAUAAUGACGGUACCCACAGAAGAAGCCCCGGCUAACUCCGUGCCAGCAGCCGCGGUAAUACGGAGGGGGCUAGCGUUGUUCGGAAUUACUGGGCGUAAAGCGCGCGUAGGCGGAUUGAAAAGUCAGAGGUGAAAUCCCAGGGCUCAACCUUGGAACUGCCUUUGAAACUAUCAGUCUGGAGUUCGAGAGAGGUGAGUGGAAUUCCGAGUGUAGAGGUGAAAUUCGUAGAUAUUCGGAGGAACACCAGUGGCGAAGGCGGCUCACUGGCUCGAUACUGACGCUGAGGUGCGAAAGCGUGGGGAGCAAA
rnacentral:rRNA from 1 species